rnacentral:piRNA from 1 species
UAAGAUCCAGUGGCUUGAAAUUCUUGC